AUACGUAGGUGACAAGCGUUAUCCGGAUUUACUGGGCGUAAAGGGCGUGUAGGCGGUCUUGCAAGUCAGAUGUGAAAUACCGGGGCUUAACCCCGGAGCUGCAUUUGAAACUGUGGUUCUUGAGUGAAGUAGAGGCAAGCGGAAUUCCUGGUGUAGCGGUGAAAUGCGUAGAUAGCAGGAGGAACACCGGUGGCGAAGGCGGCUUGCUGGGCUUUUACUGACGCUGAGGCUCGAAAGCGUGGGUAGCAAACAGGAUUAGAUACCCUGGUAGUCCACGCUGUAAACGAUGAUUACUAGGUGUGGGGGGACUGACCCCUUCCGUGCCGCAGUUAACACAAUAAGUAAUCCACCUGGGGAGUACGGCCGCAAGGUUGAAACUCAAAGGAAUUGACGGGG
rnacentral:rRNA from 1 species